UCCCUGGUGGUCUAGUGGUUAGGAUUCAGCGCUUUCAGUGCCGUGGCCCAGGUUCUAUCCCUGGUCAGGGAA
rfam:TPA: Bos taurus chromosome 19, whole genome shotgun sequence.